AGAAACCAACAGGGAUUGCCCUAGUAACGGCGAGUGAAGCGGCAACAGCUCAAAUUUGAAAUCUGGCUCUUUCAGAGUCCGAGUUGUAAUUUGCAGAGGGCGCUUUGGCUUUGGCAGCGGUCCAAGUUCCUUGGAACAGGACGUCACAGAGGGUGAGAAUCCCGUACGUGGUCGCUAGCUAUUGCCGUGUAAAGCCCCUUCGACGAGUCGAGUUGUUUGGGAAUGCAGCUCUAAAUGGGAGGUAAAUUUCUUCUAAAGCUAAAUAUUGGCCAGAGACCGAUAGCGCACAAGUAGAGUGAUCGAAAGAUGAAAAGCACUUUGGAAAGAGAGUCAAACAGCACGUGAAAUUGUUGAAAGGGAAGCGCUUGCAGCCAGACUUGCUUGCAGUUGCUCAUCCGGGCUUUUGCCCGGUGCACUCUUCUGUAGGCAGGCCAGCAUCAGUUUGGGCGGUGGGAUAAAGGUCUCUGUCACGUACCUCUCUUCGGGGAGGCCUUAUAGGGGAGACGACAUACCACCAGCCUAGACUGAGGUCCGCGCAUCUGCUAGGAUGCUGGCGUAAUGGCUGUAAGCGGCCCGUCUUGAAACACGGACCAAGGAGUCUAACAUCUAUGCGAGUGUUUGGGUGUCAAGCCCGAGCGCGUAAUGAAAGUGAACGGAGGUGGGAACCCGCAAGGGUGCACCAUCGACCGAUCCUGAAGUUUACGGAAGGAUUUGAGUAAGAGCAUGGCUGUUGGGACCCGAAAGAUGGUGAACUAUGCUUGAAUAGGGUGAAGCCAGAGGAAACUCUGGUGGAGGCUCGCAGCGGUUCUGACGUGCAAAUCGAUCGUCAAAUUUGGGCAUAGGGGCGAAAGACUAAUCGAACUAUCUAGUAGCU
rnacentral:rRNA from 1 species